AGACCGAUAGCGAACAAGUAGAGUGAUCGAAAGAUGAAAAGCACUUUGGAAAGAGAGUUAAAAAGUACGUGAAAUUGUUGAAAGGGAAGCGCUUGCAGCCAGACUUGUCCGCAGUUGCUCAGCCGGUCUCCUGACCGGUGUACUCUUCUGCGGCCAGGCCAGCAUCAGUUCGGGCGGUCGGAUAAAGACCUCGGGAAUGUAGCUCCUCUCGGGGAGUGUUAUAGCCCGGGGUGGAAUGCGGCCAGCCUGGACUGAGGAUCUCGCUUCGGCUAGGAUGCUGGCGUAAUGGCUGUAAGCGGCCCGUCUUGAAACACGGACCAAG
rnacentral:rRNA from 1 species